rnacentral:lncRNA from 1 species
GUGGGGGACGGGCGGGCGGACGGGCGCGCGCCGCGGGACGGGACUCGGCCGGCUCCGGCAGCCUGCCGUCCUUGGCUCUUUCUCGCUCCCAGAACUUCAGCGGCCACACAGCCCCGCGCUGGCCCGGGACGCGGGAGGAGCGCCCCGCGGUGCGCAGUCGCGUGCCCUCUCCGCUCCAGGGCCAGCAUUUGGCUCGCGGGUCUCUGGCCUGCGCGCCGUAGCGCCGGGUUCGGAGCCCGCCCUAGUAUCUGGUUCCUCGUUAGAACCUGACACCCGCUAGCAGAGAUAGACUCUAAGCGCUCGUGGAAACACCGCCAGCGGAGAUCGCGGCGCCUGGCGACGGGCACCGGGAGGUGUGAACUGACUCUCACCUGAGACGCCCAACCACCGCCCUGCUUCGCUUUUCACGGAUUUCAAAGCAAACCGGGAAAAGUGUGACUCGGGAAGAAAAGUGACUUGCGCCCCCGGUCCAAAAGGCAGGAGCGGAUACCGAGCUGGAAGCGGGCAACAGUUUUACUACGGCCUCAGUUUGAUUAUUUCCUGCCAUUGAAAGACCCCUGCCCCUUAGCUCUUAAGUUUGCCUCCUCCUCCGGUCGGCAGCUGAUGGGGCGCGCAGCGGAUGCCUCGCUCCUGCGCCUCCCAAUCCCCACCCCCGCCGGCCCCCACUUCCCCCGCUGCCGCCGGCCGCUGGUUCCCUCCAAAGCUGGUCCACCCCGUCCGCCUGGCCACCACGCCCCGGAGCUGGGGCCGAGCAAGGAGCCCGCGAGGCGGCCCGAGGGCAAGCACCAAGUGAGCCGGCCUGGGGCCCUGCCCCCUCGCCCCCGCCCGAUGGGGAACACUCCGUCCCAAGGUCUCCGCCCCCAAGUGUUAACUCGAUGAAGAUGUAUAAUGAAAAGGAGCAAGCAGAGAAAGGAAAAAUAUACAAUGUACAAUUUGAGGAGAAGGAGAACCAGGCAGUGGACUGGAGCUAAGUCCUGUGUUCAAGAAGAUAAACAGAUGAAGAAAUGGAAUAAAGAGAGUGGUGAUCCCAUGAAGCUAAGUUUCCAACUAAAGGAAUUAAAGACAAGCUUAGAACUAGGUGUGGUGGUGUAUGUCUGAAGAGACCAGCUUCCCUUUUGGCAGCCAUAACAGCUGAACACGUGCUUGCUAUAACCUUGUCUUGGUCACUUAGAGGUCAGAUGCCUGCCUCGUGGCAAGGAAGCAAUCAGAAGUUAGCUGGUGGUGCUAUGCUUUAUGGCUCUGGGUGUGCUUUAUGGACAAGCGCACAGCAAUGGCGCACAGAGCAUAGUAACCACCCUGGGAGGGCCUAUGGGCCAUAACCAGUUGACCAAUCAAUACAAGGCAAACCCUCCAAGCCUGGAGGCACACCAAUCCUGAACCUGUGUGUACCCCUACACACUCCCCUUACGCUGCCCUAUAAAGAUCUGUAUGCAGUGGCUUCGAACUGUCUUUGUUAGCCAUCCGACAUGGCAGGUGGAUCAAAGACCCGAGCUAACAUGGGGUUAGCUCGUUAAACUACAAUAAAGCCUCAUGCAAUUUGCAUCAAGCUUUCGCCUCCAUUCUAUGAUGGGGUGGCCGUGGUCCUGGGCUAAGAUCCUGGAAGCCUGAGCUUUUCGAGGGUUUUACAUGUCUUUAAUACCAGCCCUUUAGAGGAAGAAGCUGCUGGAUGUCUGAGUUUGAGGCCAGCCUUAUCUACAGAGUGAGCUCCAAGAUAGCCAAACUUAGGUGGAGAAGGUUACCAGAAAUGCUCAAGCUAUGCCCAGUGUGGUAGACAGUUCACUUCCUGCUGCCUUUGAAUCAAAAUGUAAAACUCUCAGCUCCUUCUCCAGCACCAUGUCUGCCUGCAUGCCACCUACCAUGAUGAUGAUGGACUAAACCUCUGAACUGUAAGAUAGCCAAUUAAAUGUUUUCUUUUAUAAAAAACUGCUAUAGUCAAUAGUAACUUCACAAUUAUAGAAACCCUAACUAAGACACAGGUGAAUGGAUACAACAGAGCCACUAGAUGUUCCACCCCGGCCCACCCAUCAAAACAGGAAACAAGAACAUUUUCUGAAGGGCUUUAAGCAACAGGAGACAAGAGGCCAUUGUGAGGUGACUAUAAAGGGCAGAGGAGCCCUCAGGCUACAGUGGAUCCUUCAGAGGGCUACAGGUCAUGUGCCACCUGCAAGUUCUUCUCGAUUGUCUUGAAUAAGUGGUUCAGCUUGUACUGUUUUACUUAGGAAAUUCUUCGAUAUAAGAGGAAAUCUGACUUUAGCAAGGAUAUCAACCAUAAAUGGCUGGUAAUUAGGCUCAUCGUAUUUUAACCACCUCACUGCAGCGUCAUAAACCUGGUCCUCUGCUCUCACAGUCAGAGUGUCCUGGCUAAGAAGCUGGGUUACUUGUUUGACAUCAAGUUGUAGAAAUUCAUCAGUUUUGUAAACUUUGGUAAAAUGCUGGUGAAUAAAGUCAUCUGCUGUUGCUUUCAGUUCAGGACAGUCCAGACACUCUGCAAGCACACUUAUACCAAGACAAUUUGAUGCGUCCACCUGUUCCUUCAAAAAAUCAACACACAUUUUCUUCACAGGUUCAAUCUGGUACUGAUUGGCUGCAUCUAACAAUGACUGGACGUUGUUGCUAUUCACAGAAAUUCUAGCAGUAUAAGCAAAUUCCACCAGCUGUUCAAUAAUACCAGGUUCAGCAUCUUUGAGUUCUACUUCAAAGGACUUAGAUUCAAGCAUGUUGGUUGUGAACAUUAAGUUAAAAAAAAGUGACUGGCUGCAGCAAGGACAACACGGUGAGCAGGAAUCUUUCUUCCCUGGACCAUGAGGAUCACAUCACACAAUGUUCUUUGCUUCCUCAUGGUGUUCAUGACGCCCAUGAAGCCCACGAGCAGCUUGGCCUCCUCGCGAGCGGCGAGUUUCUUCUCUGUCUUCUUCUUGCUGCUCUUCUCCACGCCCGAGGUGGCCAUCCGGGUUUGCCCACCACGCGCGCGGCGAGGGCUGCAGAGCACGGG